GACGAACGCUGGCGGCGUGCCUAAUACAUGCAAGUCGAACGAACAGACCCUGCGCUUGCCCCUCUCUCGUUAGGGGAGGGGGGGUGAGUAACGCGUGGAAACCCUACCUAAACCUCCGGGAUAACUUGGGAAAACAGGCGCAAACAGGGGAUAAUAUCUUGUACCACAUUGUGCCGUAGGGAAUGACGGUGUUGGUGGCUCUUAUAGAUGGAUCCGCGCUGCAUUCGCUAGUUGGUAAGGUAACGGCUUACCAAGGGAACGAUGCGUAGCCGAGCUGAAAGGGUGAUCGGCCACACUGGAACUGAGACACGGCCCAGACUCCUACGGGAGGCAGCAGUAGGGAAUCUUCGGCAAUGGGCGAAAGUCUGACGGAGCAACGCCGCGUGAGUGAUGAAGGUGUUCGGAUCGUAAAACUCUGUUAUUAGGGAAGAACAAGUGUGUAAGUAACUGAACACGUCUUGACGGUACCUAAUCAGAAAGCCACGGCUAACUACGUG
rnacentral:rRNA from 1 species